ensembl:lncRNA
UGGCAGCCGAUCCUGCAAACCCCCAGCCAGGAAGAGCUUUUGUUGAUCUCUUGGAACCUGAACUGCACAGAAUGUAGCACUCUCCAAGUCAAGACCCUCGUGCAUGAUGACAUCCGAAGACAGCCAUACUGUCCACAGACAGCUGCACUUGCACCCCAGCACACAGCGGCUGUAAAGGUGGGAGGUAUCAGAGGGAGAUGAGAGCAAAACUUUGCACUAAUGAAAGUACCACACCAACGUUAAUACCAGGC